rnacentral:tRNA from 2 species
GCCGACUUAGCGUAAUUGGUAGCGCAACUGACUUGUAAUCAGUAGGUUGGGGGUUCGAUUCCCUCAGUCGGCACCA